AAAGUUCCUGAACCAGUUGAUAUCAGAAUGAUAAAGAAAUGAUAGAUGGUACCAAUCUGUGAAUAUUAUGUCACUUUUUUCUAUAGGUGUUCCUGAUCACACUUAGAACUAUACACACACACUCAGCUGUUUCUCAAGAAAGGCCGACACCGGUUCACAAUCUUUCUUUUGUCAUUUGCAGGCGAUGAAUUCCAUAUGUCAGAAGGAAAUUUAGAAUCGUACAACCAGUCAGCAGCUACCCAUAAACCAGACCAACCUAUUAAGUCGAGCGGGCAGAAGCUGUGAUUCCCAGUGUAACACCGGAGAAUGACGGCUAGUUUUCGGAUUACAUUUCUGUGCGGAAGGAUUAAAAAACUACACCAGACUGGUGGCCAUGACAGAUGUCAGUGGGAAAUUUAAACAUGGACUAGAUACUUUGAUGUGUAGCAAAAAAGUUCAUCGUUGAUGGUGGUGUUUUUCUGUGAUAUAUUGACUGGGAUAGUAUUACUCUUCAGAAAUACAGAGCUGUCAAUGCUGCAAUUUUGUUGUGAAAUUCACAAUCCAUGUCCAAAAGUGCUUGUUUUACUAUACAGCAAAGAAGGAGAAAUUGUACCGGGCCGACACCUAUAUGGCAAAUUCAGAAAGUGGAAUAUCUCAGCAACCAUAGGGUUUACAGUCAUGAAACUUCACACACUAGUAGCUGAUAACAAUACAAAUCAGUGGCUAAAAGGAUAUUUCCAAGGCGAUGAAUUCCAUAUGUCAGAAGGAAAUUUAGAAUCGUACAACCAGUCAGCAGCUACCCAUAAACCAGACCAACCUAUUAAGUCGAGCGGGCAGAAGCUGUGAUUCCCAGUGUAACACCGGAGAAUGACGGCUAGUUUUCGGAUUACAUUUCUGUGCGGAAGGAUUAAAAAACUACACCAGACUGGUGGCCAUGACAGAUGUCAGUGGGAAAUUUAAACAUGGACUAGAUACUUUGAUGUGUAGCAAAAAAGUUCAUCGUUGAUGGUGGUGUUUUUCUGUGAUAUAUUGACUGGGAUAGUAUUACUCUUCAGAAAUACAGAGCUGUCAAUGCUGCAAUUUUGUUGUGAAAUUCACAAUCCAUGUCCAAAAGUGCUUGUUUUACUAUACAGCAAAGAAGGAGAAAUUGUACCGGGCCGACACCUAUAUGGCAAAUUCAGAAAGUGGAAUAUCUCAGCAACCAUAGGGUUUACAGUCAUGAAACUUCACACACUAGUAGCUGAUAACAAUACAAAUCAGUGGCUAAAAGGAUAUUUCCAAGGCGAUGAAUUCCAUAUGUCAGAAGGAAAUUUAGAAUCGUACAACCAGUCAGCAGCUACCCAUAAACCAGACCAACCUAUUAAGUCGAGCGGGCAGAAGCUGUGAUUCCCAGUGUAACACCGGAGAAUGACGGCUAGUUUUCGGAUUACAUUUCUGUGCGGAAGGAUUAAAAAACUACACCAGACUGGUGGCCAUGACAGAUGUCAGUGGGAAAUUUAAACAUGGACUAGAUACUUUGAUGUGUAGCAAAAAAGUUCAUCGUUGAUGGUGGUGUUUUUCUGUGAUAUAUUGACUGGGAUAGUAUUACUCUUCAGAAAUACAGAGCUGUCAAUGCUGCAAUUUUGUUGUGAAAUUCACAAUCCAUGUCCAAAAGUGCUUGUUUUACUAUACAGCAAAGAAGGAGAAAUUGUACCGGGCCGACACC